GACGAACGCUGGCGGCGUGCUUAACACAUGCAAGUCGAACGGAAAGGCCCUGCUUUUGUGGGGUGCUCGAGUGGCGAACGGGUGAGUAACACGUGAGUAACCUGCCCUUGACUUUGGGAUAACUUCAGGAAACUGGGGCUAAUACCGGAUAGGAGCUCCUGCUGCAUGGUGGGGGUUGGAAAGUUUCGGCGGUUGGGGAUGGACUCGCGGCUUAUCAGCUUGUUGGUGGGGUAGUGGCUUACCAAGGCUUUGACGGGUAGCCGGCCUGAGAGGGUGACCGGCAGAGUGGGGACUAAGAGACGCCCCGGACUGUGCGGGGGGGCGGCGGGGGGGAGUAGUGUGAGCUGGGGGGAGGCACGAGGCAGCACGGCGGGGGGCGGAAUGAGGGCCGGGGGGUGGUAACCCGGUUCCCCCGGGGCCGAGGGGAGCGUGGCAGUAAGGGAAAAAGCGCCACCGCCAAACUAGGGGCAAGAAGCGGUGGUAAUAGAAGAAAACAGCACACUUCUCAAC
rnacentral:rRNA from 1 species